UGGGGAAUGUGUCAAAGAGACAACAACCCGACCAAAUAAAAAACAACAGCAGAGGGUCACCAACAGGUCUUCAAUGUAGCGAGAAAUUCCCGCACCCGGAGGCGUCCGUCAGCUGGCCCCUAAACAAAUAUAUACUAGUCCAGUGAUAAUGAACGCCAUACUAAUUUCCAAAUUGUACACAAGAAACUAAAAUUAAAAUAAUACAAGACUAACAAAGGCUAGAGGCUCCUGACUUGGGACAGGCGCAAAAAUGCUGCGGGGUUAAACAUGUUUGUGAGAUCUCAACCCUCCCCCUAUACCUCUAACCAAUGUAGAAAAGUAAACGCAUAACAAUACGCACAUUAAAAUUCAGUUCAAGAGAAGUCCGAGUCUGAUGUCAGAAGAUGUAACCAAAGAAAAUAAACAAAAUGACAAUAAUACAUAAAUAACAACAGACUACUAGCAGUUAACUGACAUGCCAGCUCCAGACUUCAAUUAAACUGACUGAAAGAUUAUGAUUUCAUCAUAUAAACAUCAGGCACAAUCCUUCCCGUUAGGGGUUUAGUAUCAUACCAUCAUAACCUAUAUGAGAAGAACAUAACCCGUGUCAUGCCAACAACUGUUUUUAGAAUAAAUGUGUUUAGUUCCGAUGCAAAGACCUUAUCAGUGACUCAAUAUUAACGCCAAAAUAUGCAAUCUUUAAUGACUUGACAACAGUAUCGUAAUUAUAUCCCUUCUUUAUA
rnacentral:lncRNA from 1 species